AUUGAACGCUGGCGGCAGGCCUAACACAUGCAAGUCGAGCGAGCGGCGGACGGGUGAGUAAUGUAUGGGGACUGCCCGAUAGAGGGGGAUAACUACUGGAAACGGUGGCUAAUACCGCGUACUCUCGUAUAACCCAUAUGGGAUUAGCUAGUAGGUACGGGAAUGGCUUACCUAGGCGACGAUCCCUAGCUGGUCUGAGAGGAUGAUCAGCCACACUGGGACUGAGACACGGCCCAGACUCCUACGGAGGCAGCAGUGGGGAAUAUUGCACAAUGGGCGCAAGCCUGAUGAAGCCAUGCCGCGUGUAUGAAGAAGGCCCUAGGGUUGUAAAGUACUUUCAGUCGGGAGGCGUUACCGACAGAAGAAGCACCGGCUAACUCCGUGCCAGCCGCCGCGGUAAUAC
rnacentral:rRNA from 1 species